GAAAUAAAAUUGGCAGAUUCAACAGAGUGUCAUGGAAAAUUUAAUUGGAAGCUAUGAUCAUGCACGCAUGACUUGGAUAACUGGAUUUUCCUCCAAAAUUGUAACUCUAGAAUGAAUACAAUGCAAUCAUUUUACAGAUUGGAAACUGAAGCCCAGAAAUCUUGUGAGUUUUCACACAAAAGGCAAGAAGGAACUGCUGAAAAAGAUCUCUUGAACUUGGAGAUUUCAGCUAGGUGCAGUCAUGGAUUCUUGCCAAACAACCUUGAUUCUUGCAUUCUAGUAAGUAUGUCUAUUUCCAUG
rnacentral:lncRNA from 1 species